rnacentral:rRNA from 1 species
UACCCGCGGCAAGACGGAAAGACCCCGUGAACCUUUACUAUAGCUUGACACUGAACAUUGAGCCUUGAUGUGUAGGAUAGGUGGGAGGCUUUGAAGCGUGGACGCCAGUCUGCGUGGAGCCGACCUUGAAAUACCACCCUUUAAUGUUUGAUGUUCUAACGUGGACCCGUAAUCCGGGUUGCGGACAGUGUCUGGUGGGUAGUUUGACUGGGGCGGUCUCCUCCUAAAGAGUAACGGAGGAGCACGAAGGUUGGCUAAUCCUGGUCGGACAUCAGGAGGUUAGUGCAAUGGCAUAAGCCAGCUUGACUGCGAGCGUGACGGCGCGAGCAGGUGCGAAAGCAGGUCAUAGUGAUCCGGUGGUUCUGAAUGGAAGGGCCAUCGCUCAACGGAUAAAAGGUACUCCGGGGAUAACAGGCUGAUACCGCCCAAGAGUUCAUAUCGACGGCGGUGUUUGGCACCUCGAUGUCGGCUCAUCACAUCCUGGGGCUGAAGUAGGUCCCAAGGGUAUGGCUGUUCGCCAUUUAAAGUGGUACGCGAGCUGGGUUUAGAACGUCGUGAGACAGUUCGGUCCCUAUCUGCCGUGGGCGCUGGAGAACUGAGGGGGGCUGCUCCUAGUACGAGAGGACCGGAGUGGACGCAUCACUGGUGUUCGGGUUGUCAUGCCAAUGGCACUGCCCGGUAGCUAAAUGCGGAAGAGAUAAGUGCUGAAAGCAUCUAAGCACGAAACUUGCCCCGAGAUGAGUUCUCCCUGAGACUUUAAGUCUCCUGAAGGAACGUUGAAGACGACGACGUUGAUAGGCCGGGUGUGUAAGCGCAGCGAUGCGUUGAGCUAACCGGUACUAAUGAACCGUGAGGCUUAACCUU